GAUGAACGCUAGCGGCAGGCUUAACACAUGCAAGUCGAGGGGUAACAGGGAGAAGCUUGCUUUUCUGCUGACGACCGGCGCACGGGUGCGUAACGCGUAUGCAACCUACCUUCUACAGGGGGAUAGCCCAGAGAAAUUUGGAAUAAUACCCCAUACGAUCAAUGAUUGGCAUCGAUUAUUGAAGAAAACUCCGGUGGUAGAAGAUGGGCAUGCGUCCUAUUAGUUAGUUGGUGAGGUAACGGCUCACCAAGACGUCGAUAGGUAGGGGCCCUGAGAGGGGGAUCCCCCACACUGGUACUGAGACACGGACCAGACUCCUACGGGAGGCAGCAGUGAGGAAUAUUGGACAAUGGGGGCAACCCUGAUCCAGCCAUGCCGCGUGCAGGAAGACUGCCCUAUGGGUUGUAAACUGCUUUUAUACAGGAAGAAACCUACUUACGUGUAAGUAGCUGACGGUACUGUAAGAAUAAGGAUCGGCUAACUCCGUGCCAGCAGCCGCGGUAAUACGGAGGAUCCAAGCGUUAUCUGGAAUCAUUGGGUUUAAAGGGUCCGUAGGUGGUUAAUUAAGUCAGAGGUGAAAGCCAGCAGCUCAACUGUUGAACUGCCUUUGAUACUGAUUAACUUGAGUUAUUGUGAGGUAGUUAGAAUACGUAGUGUAGCGGUGAAAUGCAUAGAUAUUACAUAGAAUACCGAUUGCGAAGGCAGAUUACUAACAAUACACUGACACUGAGGGACGAAAGCGUGGGUAGCGAACAGGAUUAGAUACCCUGGUAGUCCACGCCGUAAACGAUGGUCACUAGCUGUUCGAUCAACAUUGGUUGGUUGAGUGGCUAAGCGAAAGUGAUAAGUGACCCACCUGGGGAGUACGCUCGCAAGAGUGAAACUCAAAGGAAUUGACGG
rnacentral:rRNA from 1 species